rnacentral:rRNA from 1 species
UACGUAGGGUGCAAGCGUUGUCCGGAAUUAUUGGGCGUAAAGAGCUCGUAGGCGGUUUGUCGCGUCUGCUGUGAAAUCCCGGGGCUUAACCCCGGGCGUGCAGUGGAUACGGGCAGGCUGGAGGCAGGCAGGGGAGAACGGAAUUCCCGGUGUAGCGGUGAAAUGCGCAGAUAUCGGGAGGAACACCGGUGGCGAAGGCGGUUCUCUGGGCCUGUACUGACGCUGAGGAGCGAAAGCGUGGGGAGCGAACAGG